GCAUCUUAAUUUAGCUUAAUGGGUGAUACAUCUCCUCAACAGAUGCUAUGGGCAUAGAGAACUACUGAUGGGUCUUGCUCAGCUUCAUAACUGUGCCCUGAGUCAGGUGUCCUGAAUCAUCUGUUUGUAUGUCUUUGUUUUCUUUAAAUACCAGAGUUUCUGGGCUUUGUUUAUUUGUAUUUUGUAGACUUCAAAGAGACUCCUCUGGAUAUUCUUAGGAAGUUAAACUGCAGUCCCUGCCCCAGCUAGCAAAUGGCUUGAUCUGUGCUGUUCUGUUGUCUUUCAGCUGGUGUAGGAACCUCAUGUUUAUUUUUGCCUUCUUGUCUUCUGGAACAUGUGUCUGCAUAGCAGUUUACCCUACUCUUUUUUGUAAGCAACCAACUUCAAAGCCUUCUUGUUUGUGAACCUAGCAAGACACAACAGAGCCACUCUUGCAACAGUGUAUUGCGAGUGGCCUAAGAAACUACUGUUGCUGCUGGCAUAACUUCUUUCUGAGUUAACACUGAGGGAGCAUCAGAUGAAACUGGGAGCUGUGCCAUGACAGUGGAUUGUCAGCAGCUGAAGUGCAGUCCAGAAAUGGAAAAUGUAUUUUUAUAUCUUCUGCUAUACUCUUCUAAGGAACUUUGAUUUUUUUUUUCCUGUUUUGCUUGCCAACCUAGCUAGAAGUGUACAUAUUCUUAAAUUAUUAUUCUAUGUUAAAGAAUUUUAGUAUUAACACAUGCCCCUUUCAAAAUAGAGCAAUAUUCUGAGUAAGGAUUUGAAAGGGAAGAAUAUUUUAUCCAUUAAAAAUGUAUUUUUUUCCUAUUUGUUUGCUUACUUUUACUUCCAUGAGACUCUAAGCAACAUGUGAUACUACUGCCACCCUAUAUUUGAGUAUUAUUUUAUAGAGAGCAUGAAUAUAGACAGGAUGAUUGUUUUGUGGUAGAUUCUUUUUCUUAAAGAGUGUUGAAACCAUAAGCAAUGAAGCCAUGCACCACAAAAAGAGCUGAAACCUUCGCGUGGCUCUGACACUGCUCUUUACAGGUGUUUUAACAUCAGAAGCCUGCCAAGAAUUAGGACUCCAAAACUGUCUCAAUGCCUAGUCUCCCCCACUCUGUUCCUCUACUGAGCAGCUCUUCUCUCCCCUCUUUUCCAGAAGGUGUCACUGUAAGGCAAUGGUGGUCAAAAAGCCUGUAGAUUUAAAAAUAAACGUGAAAAGGACUUCAUGGCUCUUUUUUCUUGCAGUGAUUAUUUAACUCCUAAUAAAUCAAUAUCAACAGCAUAAAACGUUAGAACGGGAACAAGAAAUGGGAGCAUCAAAGUUUCUCCUUAAUUUGAUUUUACAGCCUGAGAACAUUUCAUCCCAAAGAAAAUUCAGCUUCUCAGACCACUAGCUUAAUAGUUGUGAAAUCAGCAAAAUGACCAUGCAGUUUUAAAGCCCACACUUUUAAUGCUAAUAUUCUGGUCACGCAGGCAUACAUCUGAGAAGCACGUGCAUACCACUGGAUGCAACUGCAUAAAGAAAAGCUGCAAACAAAAACAUUUAUUUUUUCAGGUAUUCAGUGAGAUUUGAUUUGUUUUCAGACUUCAUCUUGCAUUGUGCCGUGGGUCUCAACACAACAUGUCAGAGGCUAUUAUGACAUGAAUGGGUGUCAGAUUUGGAAAAUAUUGCUUAUAUGGGUAAAGAUUGCAAAGCAGUGCCACAAAGGUGGAUGAGUGUGAGGCCUCCAGCUCUCUGAAAGGGAUGUGAAUACUAAAAUGAAAUGCUAAUACUUGGAUAUAGGAACAAUAAGCCAGAAGUGCAUUAGUAGGCAACAAGUGAAUGGAAGAAAGCUCAAGUUAUGAAAGUAGACUAAUGAGCUGCAGCUAUGCUGUCAUUGUAAAAUGUAAGUAUGGCCUCGAAUAAAACAGGAGAAGUGUUUCUUGUGAAGCCAGAAGAGCUUUAGCACCUCUGACCUGAGGCUGUCUGAGCACUCACCUGGAAGGCUGCACCCAGCUCUGGUUGUUCACCUUCAGAGGCGGUGAGCAUAGGCUGGAAGUGGAAAAGCACUGGCACGCUUGGGGAAGCCAACUGCAGCACGGGAGAAACAUUACUGAAGAUGUAGCCAUCAGAGACGAGAGAGGAGGGGCAAGCAGGAGGGAGCAAGGCAAACAUCUGAGCUUUAUAUGGUUUUAACAUCUGGGCCUUCUGAGUCGUUCCAUGCCUGCUCGCCUUAUUAGAGGGUUUGGUGCUGGAGUUCUCCGACUGAAUGCCAGAGACCUUCCCUUUGUUUUUCUCAGUGACGUACACGAGAACUUUGAGGUGGUGUAAGAACAGAGGGAUUCGUGGCUAAUAAAUACUUCAUCUAAAUGGGUGGUUUUGGUCAUAGUGGAGAGCUUGUGUCAUGCCAUAGCUGCUCGGGUAUUCUCAGCAGUAUCUUAUCUGUGAUCUCACACCUCCUGAUCAGAAGGCACCCCUCUGAUGUGACCCCAGGGUAAGUGAUAGGAUCAGUCCUUCCAAGGACCAUUGCUGGUAAUUCCUUUCCAAGGUCAGCAUAUCUCUUUUCUGUUAGUUAUCAGGACUCUGAUCUCACUACUCAUUCACUAGUGAAUCAGGAGAAAAUCCACUGCCAUAGAAGCAUGUGUUUUAUCAUUUUAGAUUAUAUCAGGAAUUCACUUCUGAAAAGAGUCCCCUGUUAUCCCCACUUUUUGCAGCUUGUUCGCUCCAAGAGCACACCACUAAAUUGACCAAACUGGCUAGCUUUCAAACCAUAAGAUGAGAUCUAGCCA